rnacentral:tRNA from 4 species
GGGGGUAUAGCUCAGGGGUAGAGUAUUUGGCUGCAGAUCAAGAGGUCCCUGGUUCAAAUCCAGGUGCCCCCU